AAAGGUGGCCUCUACCUGUAAGGGAUCGCCUGAAGAGGGGUUUGCGUCUGAUUAGCUGGUUGGAGGGGUAACGGCCCACCAAGGCGACGAUCAGUAGCCGGUCUGAGAGGAUGAACGGCCACACUGGAACUGAGACACGGUCCAGACUCCUACGGGAGGCAGCAGUGGGGAAUCUUCCGCAAUGGGCGAAAGCCUGACGGAGCAACGCCGCGUGAGUGAUGACGGCCUUCGGGUUGUAAAACUCUGUGAUCCGGGACGAAAAGGCAGAGUGCGAAGAACAAACUGCAUUGACGGUACCGGAAAAGCAAGCCACGGCUAACUACGUGCCAGCAGCCGCGGUAAUACGUAGGUGGCAAGCGUUGUCCGGAAUUAUUGGGCGUAAAGCGCGCGCAGGCGGCUUCCCAAGUCCCUCUUAAAAGUGCGGGGCUUAACCCCGUGAUGGGAAGGAAACUGGGAAGCUGGAGUAUCGGAGAGGAAAGUGGAAUUCCUAGUGUAGCGGUGAAAUGCGUAGAGAUUAGGAAGAACACCGGUGGCGAAGGCGACUUUCUGGACGAAAACUGACGCUGAGGCGCGAAAGCGUGGGGAGCAAACAGGAUUAGAUACCCUGGUAGUCCACGCCGUAAACGAUGGAUACUAGGUGUAGGAGGUAUCGACCCCUCCUGUGCCGGAGUUAACGCAAUAAGUAUCCCGUCCUGGGA
rnacentral:rRNA from 1 species